AGUCGCCGCGGUAAUACGUAGGGUGCAAGCGUUAAUCGGAAUUACUGGGCGUAAAGCGUGCGCAGGCGGUUAUAUAAGACAGAUGUGAAAUCCCCGGGCUCAACCUGGGAACUGCAUUUGUGACUGUAUAGCUAGAGUACGGCAGAGGGGGAUGGAAUUCCGCGUGUAGCAGUGAAAUGCGUAGAUAUGCGGAGGAACACCGAUGGCGAAGGCAAUCCCCUGGGCCUGUACUGACGCUCAUGCACGAAAGCGUGGGGAGCAAACAGGAUUAGAUACCCGCGUAGUCCCUGUCUCUUAUACA
rnacentral:rRNA from 1 species